CUCGUAGGUGGCCAACUAAGUCAGACGUGAAAUCCCCAGGCUUAACCUGGGAACUGCGUCUGAUACUGGAUGGCUUGAAUUCGGGAGAGGGAUGCAGAAUUCCAGGUGUAGCGGUGAAACGCGUAGAUAUCUGGAGGAAUACCGGUGGCGAAGGCGGCAUCCUGGACCGAGAUUGACACUGAGGAGCGAAAGCUAGGGGAGCAAACG
rnacentral:rRNA from 1 species